ACCUCAGGUUUCUUUAGUGUGCUUGAAUGCCCUUCUUUCCAUAUAACACUUAUCUUAUUAAUUCGGCAAUGAAUAUCUUUUCUUUAAGUUUUAAAAAAACUGGAAUAAUUACAUCUAUCUUUUUUGCUGUUUAUAUUUAGGGAUUUUUGUUGAUAAAAUCAAGUCUUGGUUGUGGCUUGCUGAAUUAAAUAUUUAUGAGUGGUGCAUUUUUAAGUAUAGUGAACAAGACACCAUAUUAAGUACAGUGAUAAAGCAUCUAUAUUCUGUAAAAAAAAAAAAAAUCUGCCUAUGCAUGUUUUUUAAGAAAAAAAAAUGGCUGUAUCGGCCUGUAUGGGACUGUAAUGCGCUUAGUGGUCUGACAUAUACUGGAAAUGUAUGUAUACUGGCGUACUUUAUAUUCUCUAAAAUGCUUAAUGCCUUUGAAAUUUUGUAAUCAAAAAAAAGCUUUGAAAAAAUCUAAAGGGGAGAGUAUUCUUUAAAGUUUUUAACAUAAGCCUGUCAGUGCACAUGUAGAUGGUUAGCAUGUUUAGCAAACCUUGUGAAAUUAUAAUCAGUUUGUAGUUACAUGUGAAACUCUAAAUGCAUGGUAACUGUUAAUGUCAUAACAGUUUAGUUAUUUUGUUCUGUUCUGUCAUGUGCCACAAAAUAUGUACUUUUUUCACUUUUUUCCCUUUUUGUAUUGGAUGCCCUAUCUGCUAAAGCAAAAAGUACUAGGCUACUAAGUGCAUUUUCAUCACAGAAGAGAGUUGCAUUUGUAUUAAUAAGAAAUUUGUAUACCCACGCUUCAGCUACUAUCUAAUCACCCGAAGAUUUAAGAAACACCAAAUUUCAGUUUGUUUCUAACAUUGUUCAUCUUUAGUGUACUUUGUUUUAUAUAAUAAAGUAUGCCUGUUAUAUUAAAUAGUAAAAAUAUGGCAAUUAGUGAUAUAGCAUACCAAAACAAAGAUGUUUUAGAUAGAGUCUGGCAAAGACUAUCCCAAGUUUAUUUUAAUGAAUUCAGACAUUUUUUCCUGUGGAUAUUUCUCCAUCCUAAAAAAAGUGGCAACCAAGGAAAAUAUUUAGAUGCAACUUACUAGAAUGAUGUGAAAGAAAUGGUGAUUCUGGUAUCAUGGUGUUUAUUUUCUUUCUUAUAACUGCAGAGAAAAUAUCCUGACUAAACAAAAAUUCAUUUUUUGGAUUCCUUUCUUUUACAAAUUGUGCUGAGGCAACUAUGGCAUAGAAAUAAACAUUUGACAUUAAAAUAA
rnacentral:lncRNA from 1 species